UAUUUGUACAAGCCGCUUUUUUU
rnacentral:miRNA from 15 species